AGUCCAGUCUGGGCCUUCUGACAUGGCUCACGAUGUGAUUCAAAGGAGAUUAAGUAAGGAUGAUCAAGCAAUUUGCUACAAAAAUAUUCUGCUGAUCUGAAAACAAAACAAAAAACUAAUAGCGUAGCACCCCGAAGAUGCUGAAAAAAAAUAUGUUGUUGGGUGAAUGGGGGAGGGGAGUAAAGGGAGGAGGUGUUAGAGGAUAGCUCAUGAAUGAACAAAGGAUUGCGAAACAUUUUGGAGAAAGAGCCUUAAGGAGCUGUUGGAGACAAGAUAAAGCACUGACUUGAUCUCAGUCAGAAAUGCUGGAGGCCCGUUUUGGAGCACCCAUUCUCCCCACGAAGAGACGCUCUGGCAGUAAGUUGUGCAGAGGGAUGUGCAGCUCUUGCAAGAUGGGAAGAAUGAUCUGGAAACCAGAAUGCAAUAUUUCUCCCUGAUAACACUCUUUCCUGCCUCUCCCCAAACAAGAUUCCUCAAGAGACAAAUUCCUCCGGAGGUCCAGUGCUGUGAAACAUUUGUAAGGAUGUCUCCCACCACUCCAGUCUUGGAAAGAAUCAUGCCAUCUCACACAGACCCUGCAGUUAUUUGGUGAAACAGAUCCAACUAAAGUCAAUGGUAAAACAUCUGUUGGAGUUUUACCCAGGAACUUUAAUGGAGCCAGGAUGUCAGCCACUGAAUUUUGGCACUCUGUAGUAGACAAAUAUUGUGAUCUGAGAUUCUCAAGACAGCUGGCCUCCAACCUUCCUGUCUGCACACUAGAAAUAAUUCUGGAGUUUAUCAGUUCUGUACCAUAAUCAGUUCAUCCAGCCAUAAAACCUAUUGGUGUCCUUGUUUAACCAUUUAUCUACCUCCAUACCCUCUAAUAUGGCUAUUAACUUUCCUACUCUAAUUAGUUGUAUUUUUAUCAAUACAAGGUUGGAUUUAAGGGAAUAAAGCAUUUUCUGCCAAACUAUUUGUCCCCAGGGUUUCUAAAUCUUCCUUUCUUUACUAUCACUGAAAAGGGAUCAAAGUGAAACUCAGGAGACAUAUGUGGAACUUCCUUCUGGAAGCAGGGAAUGUAGGUUAUAUUCAAGGUGUGAUGGGGAGCAAUUUAGCUAAGCGGGAACACUAACAUGUUACAGAGUGCUACACAGGCAAUUUCUCAUGGUUGUGCUCCCAGCAUUCUGAAAUACACACAGGCCAGCAGAGGGUGGAAAAUAUUGGAAAAACCAAGGCAGAAGUGGUGUAACCCCUAAGGAUUGGCUCCUCCAUGCUGAGAGAGAUUUACUGUAGCUGUUGCAAAGGCUGUUUGUUGAAGAGGAGAUUAAACAGGAGACCCUAUUCAGAGCUAGUGGUCACUUAGAAGAUCUUGGAAGCAUUCCUGGACAAGGACACAGCCAACCAAAGCUCAAGCUGAGCCUCGCAAAGCCAUCCCUACUGCACACAAAAGCACCAGGAGCUGUUCCCAUCCCAUAUUCAAUUCAGCGUCCAAAGGAAUGAAAACCCUGCUAUUAUGAGAGACUGUGAACUCCAGGAUGAUGGUAGAAGGGAAUAGCAUCUGCGCAUAUGGACCAGUAUAAAGGAUUUAAUCAAACAUCAAAUUUUUUUAAAAACAGAUUGCACAAAUAUCCACCAGGAUUGAUGUCCACCUGAAAAUCAUCACGCCAUGACAGGAGUUUUUUGAGAUGUGCCCUUGGGAUCUCUACUUGAAGCCUAUGAUUCUUUGAUCUCCUUAGGGCUAAUGAACUUAUCUUGUCCCUUCUUUGAGAUCAAGAUUGAGAGUCUAUUUUUGAGACACUGAUGUCUGUGAGGUCUUACACUAAAUAUUUUAGUAUCUCCAUUUUUAUACACUAUUUCUAAAAUGAUGAGAUGUUUUAUCCCACAGUUUGAUAGUGUCUGUCAAGUUGGACUAUAACCUUAAUCAUGAUUAUAUACAAAAAAAAAAAUAAAAUCCUGAAAAUAUCAACACGUAUCCAGUGCCCAACUCUCUGGCUGACCCUCCAAUCUGCUCACAUCAUGAACGCAUAAACAGUGCAUUUGAUCAUUAAUUUCUUUGCUGAUGUAUUUUGGAAGAGUAGAUUUGAAGUGUGCAUCCCUGGGUAAAAAGCCAUCAGAGCACUUCUCCUCUAUUUGCUCCUUGUAGGGGUGGACAGAGCAGCUGGGUCCUGGUCUACAUGCAUUGCGGAUUUGGUGGGAUAUCAGUGUUGACCCCACACUGGAAACUCAUGGCAGUGUGGGCAGGCUUUGCCAACAGCCUUGACAUUUCAUGUCACAGGACAGCCAGUACCAAAGCAUGAGUGAGGGCUCCAGGAAAGCCAGGAAAGACAAAAGAAGUAGAUCUAAACAAUAGAGUUAUUGCUUAAACUCUAAGCACUCUCACUCCCAUCUGUUCGCCCUCACCUCCUAGGCAUCUCCUUCACCUUCACGCACCACAGAGGUUGGCUUGGCUUAUUCUCUCUUGAACACAUUCAUAUUUUAGGAUGCCAGAUUCAGACAUUUGUUAUGGCUAUUGGCACCCUACCUCACAUCCAGAGCUAAAGAUUCCUGUCUCUAUGGAUAUUUCCCUUUUUCUUCGCUCCCAUUUUAUAAACAUCACCAUAUUUGACCAGAAUAAAUCUCUCAGUGGUCAGAAGUAAACAGGGAAAUUAAUUAUUUUGAUAGUCAAUUUUCAUGUCAGUGUGGAUUUUAUUUGUUUGUUUUGUUUUCGGUGGAUCAGGUAGUGACUUGGUGAUCUUAGAGGUCUGUUCCAACUUAAAUGAUUUUCUGAUUCUGCAGAUUGACCAUAAUCUUCUGCUCUCGGUGCUAUUCCUCAGAUCCUCUGAUUCUCUCAAACUUUUGCUAAAAGUUUCCUAUGGUGGUUUGAAGAAACAAAAUGAUUUAAUAAGAUAAGUGGUAAGAGAAAUGCAAAAGGAAAUAAAUAGUCUAAUUUGAAAUGACUGUCUUAGUGGUACUUUUGGAAAUAAGAUAGUUCAUUCCAUUCCACAGCCAGAAGCACUUUUAUUCCUGAAAACAAUUGUAUGAUGUCUGCAACCAGGAGACAUGUGUCUGUAAGAGGUGAUUCCUUCCAAUUCAGCUUUUUGCCCAACAAUUUUUGCUGCUUCCUUAUCAUCUUUCUUUCUGUUUUAAAUUUUCUAGAUAGCUUGUCUUGGUAAAAGCACAUUUCAGGUCAGAUGCAGGCUGAUCAUGGAAGCUUUUAAACCCCCUUGCUGACCUGGAAUUAGUAGAUUCAUGCAACUUUCCACCAAAACCAGUACACCAUAAAAUAAGUGUUUUACGCUACACUGGUAUUGCUGGCAAUGCAUAAAAUAAAUGUAUGUGCAAUGCCAUAACUUCAGUCUAAAAUACUACCUACAAAUUUAAUAGAAGAAUAGAUAUUGCUUCAGUUGUACAGUGUCUAACACGGUAAGUUUUUUCUUGGUUGUUCUUUAUACAUUAUUUGUCUAAACGCUUAGUGACACUGAACAAGACACCUACAUGGAUAUACAUGCAGUAAACUUCCACAGCUCCAUGACAUCCCAUAUCAUUGUAACAGUAAAAUACAGCCCUGUUACCCACUUAGCUGUGGACUGGAAUAAACUUUCUGUUUAUCGUCUAUUCACUCAUCUUCCAAAUGUCUCAUUAAUGUUGUUUUUCUCAGUGUCUUGAUGUUAAUCUUUCAGUAUUUUAUCCCAGAACUUAUGAUAAUGAAAAAUGAGUCUGAAUCCUAACUAAUACAGCAGAUUCUGAAUAUUUAGAGGACUGCAUUCUAAUAGACAGAUUCAAAGUAACCUUCACUUUCAAACUUGAAAAGAAAGUUGUGUUUCCUUCUAUCUGGUUUAGAAUAACCAGAAAUAAAACUGGCCAGAAGCGUGUUCAGCUAUGCACCAACUAUGCUCACCAAAGCAUCACAAUGCCCACACCUAGUCCUCUAUGUCUGAAUAGGAGGGUUUUCCUCCAGGUUUAGCAGAAAAAGGAAAUUAGCUGUUGGCAAUGGAUGAGCGGGAUAUAUAAGACAAUGGAGAAUGAAAUACUUGGAAGUUAGGGUGUGUGUGUUUUCUUUUUUUUUUUUUUAAUUUUAUUUAUAUAUUUAUUUUCUGAAAAUGCAUUUCAUUGUGAAACUUUUCUUACAUUUUAGAUCAUAUAUUCAGUUGUGUAAAUUUCAUAUCUGAAAAGGCAAUAAAAUA